rnacentral:rRNA from 1 species
AGAUUCCGGAGAGGGAGCCUGAGAAACGGCUACCACAUCUAAGGAAGGCAGCAGGCGCGCAAAUACCCAAUCCUGACACAGGGAGGUAGUGACAAGAAAUAACAACACAGGGCAUUUCUAGUGCUUUGUGAUUGGAAUGAUAGGAAUCUAAACCCCUUCCAGAGUAACAAUUGGAGGGCAAGUCUGGUGCCAGCAGCCGCGGUAAUUCCAGCUCCAAUAGCGUAUAUUAAAGUUGUUGCAGUUAAAAAGCUCGUAGUUGGAUUUCUGUCAAGAACAAGCGGUCCGCUCCAUUGGAGUGUGUACUUGCAUCGUUUUUGACUUUCUUCUGAACCUUAAGCUGUUUUCCCUUCAUUGGGUAAAGCAGCUGGGCAGAACCUUUACUUUGAGAAAAUUAGAGUGUUUCAAGCAGGCUAGCGCCU